rnacentral:misc_RNA from 1 species
UUUGUGGGUCUUCUACUUCUUGUAAUCGCAGCACCUCUAGAUCGCCGGGUGUGGUGAUCACUAUUGCCUUCAUCUUUGUUUGAUUUUGAACGCCUGGCAUUUUAAAAUAUAUGAUUGUCUUGAAGCUAUGAAUGACGAUAACUUUCGUUCUUGGCCAAUUAUCUAUUCUCGCUGACACAUUACCUUCUUGCAAUGAUUUGGUUUUAAACAACAAAAACUGCUUACUUGUUGUGUUGUUAGCAG